rnacentral:rRNA from 1 species
UACGUAGGGUGCAAGCGUUAAUCGGAAUUACUGGGCGUAAAGCGUGCGCAGGCGGUUUUGUAAGUCUGUCGUGAAAGCCCCGGGCUCAACCUGGGAAUUGCGAUGGAGACUGCAUGGCUAGAGUACGGUAGAGGGGGAUGGAAUUCCGCGUGUAGCAGUGAAAUGCGUAGAUAUGCGGAGGAACACCGAUGGCGAAGGCAGCCCCCUGGGUCAAGAUUGACGCUCAUGCACGAAAGCGUGGGGAGCAAACAGG